rnacentral:misc_RNA from 1 species
GAUGAAGAACGUAGCGAAAUGCGAUAAGUAAUGUGAAUUGCAGAAUUCAGUGAAUCAUCGAAUCUUUGAACGCACAUUGCGCCCGCCGGCACUCCGGCGGGCAUGCCUGUCCGAGCGUCAUUUCAACCCUCAGGCCCGAACCCCCCCGGGGGGGGCGGGCCUGGUGUUGGGGCUCGGGGUCCGCGAGGCCCCCGUCCCCUAAAUCCAGUGGCGGUCGCGCCGCACCCUCCCCUGCGUAGUAGCACACCUCGCACCGGAGAGCAGCGCGUCCACGCCGUGAAACCCCCAACUUACCAAGGUUGACCUCGGAUCAGGUAGGAAUACCCGCUGAACUUAAGCAUAUCAAUAAGCGGAGA